AGAGCCCUGUACUAAAAGUGAGAGACUCUUCUCAGAGAAGAAGGACAUGCUAUUACCUCAAGUUAGAAGGUAAAACUAUAGUUAUCACAUUUCACAUGGCAAGACAGUAAAGAGGAGGCAUAUUUGCAUUUGUUUUCAUUAUGUUUUUUACUUAAACCUGUAUUCAAUUGUACCUCCUCAGAGACCUGGGGGAUAUUCAUAUAUAUAUACUUUUGAUUGAGCUACUGGCCCAUUUAUUCAUUCUUACUUACAACAACCUUUUGUCAGGUUACUAGGACAGGACAUGUACAGGACAGAAGAGCCAUAGUUUUUGUCUUUAUCAAAUUCACAGAGUAAUGAAGUGAAAAGACAGUCUCACACACACACAAACACACAUCCUUUGCAAUUGUUUUAAAUGCUGUAAGAUUAUAUAAGAAGAGUAGACACCUGGGUUGUAGUGGCACGUCAGAGAUGCUGUCUCACAAGAAGUUAUAUUUAGGUGGAAUCUUGAAUGAUGACUGAGAAUUAAUCAGUUAAAAGUACAAACAGGAGGGCAUAAAGGAAUAAAUUUUCAGGGAAAAGAAACAGCAUGUGUAAAGGACCUGAGUUGGAAAGAAAGUACUGAAUGAAAUCUGCUGCAUCAGACUGAAGAGAAUGAGGGACACAAAAUGUGAAGCCACAGAUGACGUUGAAGAGGUCAUGCAUGCUGGUCGUGACAUAUUGUUACAGAGAAGAAAAUUUGUUCAACACUGGAGACAAGAGUUCUACGAUUUUUGUCAAGCAGAGAGGGAGAACUUGAUGAUCACACAGUCCUGCUCAAGCCAAGUCUCUGCUGUUCAUGAACCAGACAGAUCAUCUGGUGCCGAAGUGCCACAUUUGGGCUUAGUUUUUGUAAAAAGUACUCGGAAUAUGAAAUGAAGCCUAAAUUUCCAUUGAACACUUUAAAAUAAUAACAGCAUUUUAAAAUAGAUCCAUAAUAAUACUGUAACUUUUAUAAGAUACCUUCUGCAG
rnacentral:lncRNA from 1 species